rnacentral:tRNA from 1 species
GGUAAGGUGGCUGAGAGUAGGCGGCGGAUUGUAGCUCCGAUCACAGAGGUUAGACCCUCUUCUUAUCA